UCAUAUUUAUUGAAUGUGUUCAAAGUUUCAGUGCCUCUGUGUGAUUCAUAGAACAUAGUACAGGUUUUGGCUUUUAUGGGGCUAUAAAAUUUACACUUCAUGUAAAGUCCUGGGUCUUUGGUCACCUAACAAUUCCUGGGUAUUGGACUUGAACCAGUAUAGAAGUGUAAGACAGGGGAACAAUAUUUUAUCCCUCCAUAUCGACAUCUUGUUGUCACAUCUACAAUAGCCAACUUACAAGUGUAGGUCAGAAACAGAAAGGACACAUAUGUUAAAGGACCUUAGAAUGGUCAACUUUAAUGUACAACAAGAGAAAAAGUGUAAAUGUGAUACUAGCCAAGAUCAUGAUACCAGAAAUAAAGGAAUACAAUAGAACUAACCAGGUUAGGAUUAUAGAGGUCAGAAAAGUCAUUAAAUAAGCCAAAAUUUAAUAACCAGAAAAUCUGAGAAUAUAUAACAAACGAAACAAAGGAGCAGAGGAAAGCACGACAGGGCAAAGACUAUGAAAACUUUAUUUAAACAACGAGAUGGACUUUGAUUGGUCCACGACAUAAAGUGUGUGAACAGGGUCACAGUGAUGGCGUUGCACUCCUGUAACCAGAAAUGGUGCUAGGUAUCAUAUUAGCAUAAGUAGAGGGGCACCGCGAGCAUGCAGCUUUCCUUUCCCUGUCAGAAGACCCAUGAGCAUCUGUCUCUUGGUGCAUUUGGCGUAUUUGGGAAGUCAAAAUACAAGUGCGAUUGGAUAGGUAGAAGAGGAUUAGAAUUCACUGAUUCCCAUUCAACUUGAACGGCACUCAUGAAUGCCAGAGCAACGCAUUGAACGGGUAAGUACUGUGAAACUUGUAAAGCAGGACACUGCUGGGCAGGAUAGAAGGAGGGCAAUUCUCCAGAAGAAUAGGCAUGUGAGCAUGGCAUGAAUCCAUGCCAGGCUGACUGCCAAUUAUGCAUAUGGCCCCAUGAAGCACAGAACAUAAACAAAGGAAUAAUGUGCGCUCAGAUCUGAGCUAUCUGGGGAUAUAUUAAAUGUACCUGUUUUGUGCAAUGGCUGCACAGUUAUAUAUUUUUAUGUGUUUUAUUGUCUUUUGCUGCCAUGUGUUCAAUUGAGUUUUGCCUCUGUCCUUGGAGAUAAUUAGAUUACUUCCCAAUUAUCUCCAGGAUAGAAGACUCUGUGGAACUGGUUUUGGGCAGAAAAGCCAUGCUUCAUUUGGUCACAAAGUACUUCGAGCUAUCUUUUGAACCAAUGAACCAAUUUGGAUGAUUUUGACAUAUGUUUGUAUUUGGAGUAUGCUGCUUCUUAAAAUGUAAGAAUGUGAAUGUGAUGCAUACUUUUCAAGAAUAAUGUGGAAAAACUGUAUUUCUCUGGUUGUGAUAAUUACAUUACCCAUUGUGUAAGGUAAUUGUAUCACAGGCAGAGGGGAGGAUUUUGUGUGGGAGUGUCUGAGUGUAUUGUACAUGUUUAUUGGUUGUUUUCCAAAACCCUGUGGGUAGUACUGCUGUGUAAGAAUGUGUACAUAAGAACAAUAAACCCACAGCUCUGGCUGAUUCUGCUUAACCCUCAAAAUGAAGUGUCGUCUCGUUAUUGGGGGAAUUGGAUUGUAUGCUGACUGCCAGGAGUGUAAACCUUUCAUAUGGUUUUUCCUGUUCAGCUGUUUCCAGUAUUCGUGAGUUUCCUGUUCGGGAGUUGGAGAAUCCGUGUAGUUUGCAGUUCGGGAGAUUGGUGCUUACAGUAGCUGUCUAUGCAUCUGAAAGGGGAAUAUUGCCUAAAUGGUUUUUAACCUCUUGUGGUCAAAACGGUCCGUUACAGAGGGUAAUCGUAAAUCUGAAGAAGAUGGAGCUCAAAUUAUGAGUGGAAUCAAUGUGAAAACGAAAAAGGAGAGGGAGGCAGAAAUGAGGAAACGGUGACCAUAAUAAAAUAAGAUGUAGAAACUUUCACAGCUUUUAAUUGUUUAAUUGGACACUCAGGCUCAAACUAUUUAUCAUAAUUUGCAUAUAGAAAUCAAUUAUGUAAUUCUGACUAGAAGAGAAAAGAAAAAAGCUAAAUACACAAUUGUAGACUAUUAUAUAUCCGUCUCUUUUCUACUUUAUGCAUUAGAUUUUUAGUGUAAUAAUAGUAUUUCCUCGUUACCUUAUACGCC